CGUGUGAGCCGGGAGCUCUCGAAAAAAAAGAGGAGAAGAUGAAAAAAGACAUGUGGGGAGUUUAUAGAGAGACGAUAGAAUAGGGAAGGGGAAAGGGAGAAGCUCGUCUCGCACCCACCACAAGAAGGAAUAGAAAUAGA
ensembl:ncRNA F26D11.15 ncRNA